rnacentral:rRNA from 1 species
AGCGAACGCUGGCGGCAGGCCUAACACAUGCAAGUCGAACGAACUCUUCGGAGUUAGUGGCGGACGGGUGAGUAACACGUGGGAACGUGCCUUUAGGUUCGGAAUAACUCAGGGAAACUUGUGCUAAUACCGAAUGUGCCCUUCGGGGGAAAGAUUUAUCGCCUUUAGAGCGGCCCGCGUCUGAUUAGCUAGUUGGUGAGGUAAAGGCUCACCAAGGCGACGAUCAGUAGCUGGUCUGAGAGGAUGAUCAGCCACAUUGGGACUGAGACACGGCCCAAACUCCUACGGGAGGCAGCAGUGGGGAAUCUUGCGCAAUGGGCGAAAGCCUGACGCAGCCAUGCCGCGUGAAUGAUGAAGGUCUUAGGAUUGUAAAAUUCUUUCAUCGGGGACGAUAAUGACGGUACCCGGAGAAGAAGCCCCGGCUAACUUCGUG